UACGGAGGGGCGAGCGUUAUUCGGAAUUAUUGGGCGUAAAGGGCGCGUAGGCGGCUGUACAAGUCAAAGGUGAAAUCCCUCGGCUCAACUGAGGAACUGCCUUUGAAACUGUACGGCUUGAGGCCGGGAGGGGUAGCGGAAUUCCCAGUGUAGCGGUGAAAUGCGUAGAUACUGGGAGGAACACCAGUGGCGAAGGCGGCGACCUGGUCCUUGACUGACGCUGAGGCGCGAAAGCGUGGGGAGCAAACAGGG
rnacentral:rRNA from 1 species